UACGGAGGGUGCAAGCGUUGUUCGGAAUCAUUGGGCGUAAAGCGCGUGUAGGUGGCUUGGCAAGUCGGUUGUGAAAUCCCGGGGCCCAACCCCGGAACUGCAUUCGAAACUGCCUCGCUAGAGUCCCGGAGAGGAAGGCGGAAUUCCCGGUGUAGAGGUGAAAUUCGUAGAUAUCGGAAGGAACAUCAGUGGCGAAAGCGACUUCCUGGACCAGUACCGACGUUCAGGCACGAAAGCGUGGGGAGCAAACAGG
rnacentral:rRNA from 1 species